rnacentral:rRNA from 1 species
CAGUCGCCGCGGGAAUACGUAGGUGGCAAGCGUUAUCCGGAAUUAUUGGGCGUAAAGCGCGCGUAGGCGGUUUUUUAAGUCUGAUGUGAAAGCCCACGGUUCAACCGUGGAGGGUCAUUGGAAACUGGAAAACUUGAGUGCAGAAGAGGAAAGUGGAAUUUCAUGUGUAGCGGUGAAAUGCGCAGAGAUAUGGAGGAACACCAGUGGCGAAGGCGACUUUCUGGUCUGUAACUGACGCUGAUGUGCGAAAGCGUGGGGAUCAAACAGGAUUAGAGACCCCUGUAGUCCCUGUCUCUUAUAC